GGGAAGGUGGCUCAGUGGUAGAGUGCUUGCCUUGCAUGCAUGAGACCCUGGGUUCAACUCCUCAGCACCCCA
rfam:Dipodomys ordii contig_5800, whole genome shotgun sequence.